rnacentral:rRNA from 1 species
CGUGAGCAACCUGCCCCUGACUCUGGGAUAAGCGCUGGAAACGGCGUCUAAUACUGGAUAUGUGACGUGACCGCAUGGUCUGCGUUUGGAAAGAUUUUUCGGUUGGGGAUGGGCUCGCGGCCUAUCAGCUUGUUGGUGAGGUAAUGGCUCACCAAGGCGUCGACGGGUAGCCGGCCUGAGAGGGUGACCGGCCACACUGGGACUGAGACACGGCCCAGACUCCUACGGGAGGCAGCAGUGGGGAAUAUUGCACAAUGGGCGAAAGCCUGAUGCAGCAACGCCGCGUGAGGGAUGACGGCCUUCGGGUUGUAAACCUCUUUUAGCAGGGAAGAAGCGAAAGUGACGGUACCUGCAGAAAAAGCGCCGGCUAACUACGUGCCAGCAGCCGCGGUAAUACGUAGGGCGCAAGCGUUAUCCGGAAUUAUUGGGCGUAAAGAGCUCGUAGGCGGUUUGUCGCGUCUGCUGUGAAAUCCCGAGGCUCAACCUCGGGCCUGCAGUGGGUACGGGCAGACUAGAGUGCGGUAGGGGAGAUUGGAAUUCCUGGUGUAGCGGUGGAAUGCGCAGAUAUCAGGAGGAACACCGAUGGCGAAGGCAGAUCUCUGGGCCGUAACUGACGCUGAGGAGCGAAAGGGUGGGGAGCAAACAGGCUUAGAUACCCUGGUAGUCCACCCCGUAAACGUUGGGAACUAGUUGUGGGGUCCAUUCCACGGAUUCCGUGACGCAGCUAACGCAUUAAGUUCCCCGCCUGGGGAGUACGGCCGCAAGGCUAAAACUCAAAGGAAUUGACGGGGACCCGCACAAGCGGCGGAGCAUGCGGAUUAAUUCGAUGCAACGCGAAGAACCUUACCAAGGCUUGACAUAUACGAGAACGGGCCAGAAAUGGUCAACUCUUUGGACACUCGUAAACAGGUGGUGCAUGGUUGUCGUCAGCUCGUGUCGUGAGAUGUUGGGUUAAGUCCCGCAACGAGCGCAACCCUCGUUCUAUGUUGCCAGCACGUAAUGGUGGGAACUCAUGGGAUACUGCCGGGGUCAACUCGGAGGAAGGUGGGGAUGACGUCAAAUCAUCAUGCCCCUUAUGUCUUGGGCUUCACGCAUGCUACAAUGGCCGGUACAAAGGGCUGCAAUACCGUGAGGUGGAGCGAAUCCCAAAAAGCCGGUCCCAGUUCGGAUUGAGGUCUGCAACUCGACCUCAUGAAGUCGGAGUCGCUAGUAAUCGCAGAUCAGCAACGCU